rnacentral:lncRNA from 1 species
CUACGGGUGUGGGUGCAGCCCGUGGUUAGAACUGGCUCCGCCCCUUAGUAAUCUCACUGAUUGGAAAGGAGCGUAAAAAUGCAAAAAAUACUGCGCUACCGUCGCGUUGGCCGGAUUAGACGCCUGGAAACGCUUCGGUUUCUCCCUCUGGAAGACCCGGGAUGGAGUCUGGGGUCCCAUCACUCGAAAAUAUUUAUGGUGGAGUCCGGGCCCAGCCAAUUCAUCCCCGUCUCCACCAUCCGGCCCACCCCUCCGCCGGGAUGGGCGGCCGAUGGAAGGACUGCUCCGUCGCAUAGUAGUAUUCACCAAACAGGUUCCAGAUCGAGAUCAACUACGAUCCUGGAUCAGUAUAUAGUUUCUUA